CCAGGGGGCGGGCAGCGCCGGGAGUGGCGUCUGAGGUGAGCCCGAAGGCGGGCAGGGGCUCUCCAAGCAGAAGGCGGGCAUCGGGGGGGGGGAGGCCUGGGGGCCGUCUGGGCGGAGGGGGCGAUCUGUGCUGAGGCAUUUGCUUUGGGGGUGGGUUCGCCCCGCGUGUGCUGGGGGCCGGUGGGUGGCUGCGUGCGGCCUCAGGGGCUGACGGCGGCGUGUUUCCGGAGGAGAACACAGGAGGGGAGCAGGACCAGUUCACGGGAGGCCCUGUAAGGCCCUGCUGAGGAUUUGGGUGUGGGGAGGGGGUCCCACCAGGGCUCUGAGGUGAGCGCUGAGCCCUCGUGCAAGCGCUCCGGCUGCGAGGGGCGGACGGAUGGGGGGCAAGGCCAGGCUCGGAGGGACGGGAGAGGCUGAGAGGUCACGCAGGUGGGAGGCCGUGGCCUGAGUGGGCCCAGAGGUCAGCGGGUGGUCAGCGCCUCCGUGAGUCCCUCCCGCCCUCAGAGGAGGAAGGGGAUGGACCUGGUGCCCCCGUGAGUGUGUUCCGUGCUGGACACCUGACCCGCGCCAUCGCCCUGUGCCUGUAGGCCGCAUCUGUGAGCUGCAAGGUCACCCCCAUUCCACUCGUAGGCUCCGUGGUUGACCCCAGGCCCAGGGGGCUCAACGCCCAAGGUCUGUGUGACCCCAGAGCUCGUCCUGUCUUCACAGUAAAACAUCACAGGGAACCCGACACAUCACCAGGUCCACCAGGAGGAAACCCGUCUGUCUGGCGCCGCCGGGGGCAGUCACACGCCGCACGAGUCGGGGGUCCUCCUCACCUGGCUGAGCGCGGGGCGCACGGGCACGAGGUGUGUCCCGCCUCCUCUCACGCGCGCUCCUGUUAAGGGUUUACUGGGUGGUCUCUGUUCCUCACUCCGACUGUGCACAGGUGUCCUUUUCCACACUCAGCUGUGUGUCGUGUUCACCUGAAGUCGAGGUUCAGGGUUUUUCAUAAGAUGUUCUUGGAUGAUCAGCUGAAGAGAUCCCAAAGGCAGAACAUUCAAAACAAACUGGGCCUCUGAUGAUGCAACUUCACGUCAGAGUUAAGUCUGUGUUCAAAUGUGAGUAAGAGGCCUGCCUCGGAGCAGUCUGGACUCUAGCAGAGAGAGACACGGUUUACGGUAAACAGAUGAUCCCCGUAAAGCUCAUUCCUCGAGCGACUGCAUCGUGGGAAAGCGUUUUGAUGGCGCAGGGAAAAGAGCACCUGCGUUCUAGGCUCAGGGACCACGUCCUGCAGGCUUGUUAAAAGCAGCCUGACUCCUCUGCCAAAGAUGCUUUUUCCUUCUCUGCACCAGUCAAAUCACAAGAACAGGCAAAGCUUCGGGCAGAUGAGGGACCACACGGAAGUUUCAAAAGUUGUGCCAAAGCGUCCGUGGCGGAGCUGAGAUGUGACCUUCGAGAACGUGCAGGGCAAACAGCUGGCCGAUUCUCCUCUGCAGCGGCGACCGCUUUCUUGUGAAGAACAGAAGGAGUGGGAUGAGCUGGACAGCCUGUUGGUCUCUGAAAGCAGAGGCCAGAGUGCUGGCCGCUUGGGUGCCUUCAGCACGGAGCCUGGUGGGACCUCGCCGCAUAUCUGUUCACCUGCACGUUGACGAGUCUGCAAGGGAAAGAAUCAAAGUAAAGACCACGGGUUCUGACCGUCCCACACGCAGAAACAUGAGGCAGGGGAUGCUGUCAGUAGAGGGUCCCCUUUCUAUCACUGGGACCCCGGGGUCCCAGUGCCCUCCCGACUACCCAGGGCCAGGGUGCCCUUACAGAGCGUCUGUUUUCCAGGAAGCAGCUGGUACUCCCACCUUCCUAUUCCUUAUGUAUUUUAUAGAGGCUUGGAAGGGAGUCGAAACAGGUGGAAGCCGUGUGCGCCAGCGUCAGACACACCUGAGCCCCUUUUCCGGCUCUCACCCGCUGUGUGAUCCUGGGCAGCUUGCUCAGUAGCUCGGAGCCUGUUCUGUAUCUGCAGCCUCCUCAGAAGAGUCCUGGGCAGAGAUGGGGGACACGGGGUCUCUGCUCAUCGCAGCCACGCAGGACUCAGGCUGAGCCCGAAGGAAAUGCGAGCUCCCGAGGGUCCCUUGUUGGCAGUUCAAAUGGGCAGCCGGCUCACUUACGUCUGAUGGGCUGGGACCAGGCACAUGGUGCCUCCCACCCACCACAAAGCGUUCGGGAGUGCAGUCCGCACAGGCGCCGGGAAGGCGGAGAGCACGGCAUGCUUGGCAGUGAGCGCGACGCGGGGACCGGCCGGCGCUCCGGUGGACGAGCGCCCAGGGUCGCCUCCGCGCUGCCCGUGUCUUAGUUUGGGUCUGUUGUAUAUGAAAUAUUGUAUAUGUAUUAUUUUAGUAUUUUCAGGACUGUUUGUGGCUGAUAAGUCACUGACAUACUACGUUCUCCUUUUCAGAAGUGCUCAAGGUUGAAGAGGAGAGCCUUGGAGAUGAGGUAUUAAACCCGAAGGCGCGAUCUCGCCGGUGACGCGGGCGGCGGCGAGGUUCAGGGGGUCCCCAGCGAGGCAGCGUCUGGCUGGUUUGAUGUCUGGGGGCAUCUCGGGGGGCAGGCAGCCUAGCGCGACCUCAGCACGUGGCACUGGGCUCCCGACUUCUCCGCUUCGGGCCUGGGGACUUAGCCCCCUCGCUCACCUGUUUAUUCUUCCAACGUCUGCUGCGCCUCGCGGCAGCCGGGCGGGGCCGUGGCGCUGCCGGCAGGAGACGCGGCGUUUGUGUCUCAGAGAAGACGCAGACGGGGCGGGUGGGUGGCG